rnacentral:rRNA from 1 species
AGUGAACGCUGGCGGUAGGCCUAACACAUGCAAGUCGAACGGCAGCACAGUAAGAGCUUGCUCUUACGGGUGGCGAGUGGCGGACGGGUGAGGAAUACAUCGGAAUCUACUUUUUCGUGGGGGAUAACGUAGGGAAACUUACGCUAAUACCGCAUACGACCUACGGGUGAAAGCAGGGGAUCUUCGGACCUUGCGCGAUUGAAUGAGCCGAUGUCGGAUUAGCUAGUUGGCGGGGUAAAGGCCCACCAAGGCGACGAUCCGUAGCUGGUCUGAGAGGAUGACCGGCCACACUGGACCUGAGCCCCGGCCCAGCCUCCUCCGGGAGGCAGCAGUGGGGAUUUUUGGCCAAUGGGCGCAAGCCUGACCCAGCCAUACCCCGUGGGUGAAGAAGGCCUCCGGGUUGUAAAGCCCUUUUGUUGGGAAAGAAAAGCAGCAGGUUAAUCCCCGCUGUUCUGACGGUACCCAAAGAAUAAGCACCGGCUAACUUCGUG